GGCUGUGACCCUGUAGGAAUCCUAUGCUGGAGCAGGCUCCUGGCAGGACAUGUGGCACUGUGGAGAGGGUAGCUCAUGCUGAAAACGGUUUGUUAGGAGGGCUUGUGACCUUGUGGGGGACCCAUGGAGCAGUUCAUAAAGAAGUAUAGCCUGUGGGAAGGACCCCAUGCUAGAGCAGGGGAAGAGUGAAAGAAAGUUGGGGAGGGGGAGUGAUAGAGCAGCUUUGGUGGGCACCUGGCAUCCAACCAAGUUGAUCCCAACAAAAAGGAGAUAGACAGCUGCAGCAAAUGAGAAGGCAGAAUGCAUUUGAAUUUGGGGAUAUGGGUUUAGAAGUUUGUUGAAGAAAAUCCAGUUGAAUAAAAGGGGUUCUGAGGCAAAGCCCCAAGAAGCUUUGGGAUGUGCAUAUACAAGAGAGCUGUAAAUAGAGGGAUAAAUUGAUUUUCUGACCACACAGAAGGUGAAAAGAGAUUGAGAUUAAGGAAUAAAUCAGUUAAGAUCCUGGGAAGCAAAUGCUUAAGUUAAAAUGGGCAUACACAUCCUGUCCUAAAUUAUAUAUCAAUACUGCAACACUGUUUUCCAAUUCAUAACCUUUACAGACCAUGCCUGUUAUAAAUUGUUUUGCCAUCAAUUUGAAUUAUUAUAUACACUUGUAUCUAAGAAGUCAAAAAACAUCCUGGACUGCAUAGGAGGAGCAUCACCAGCAGGUCAAGAAAGGUGAUCCUUCUGCUUCGCUCAGAAAUAGUGAGCCUACACCUGGAGUGCCCUGUCUAGUACUGGCCUCCCCAUGGACAUGCUGGAGCAGAUCCAGUGAGGGGCCACAAAGAUGAUUAAAGUACUGGAGCAUCUCCCAUAUAAGAGACUGAGACAGCUGGCACUGUUUAGUCUGGAAAAAAAAGGCUCAGGAGGAUCUUACCAACAUGUAUAAAUAUCUGAUGGGAGAAUGUAAAGAAGACAGAGCCAGACUCCUCUCAGCAGUAUCCUGUGACAGGACAAGAGGCAGUGGGCACAAACUAAAAUACAGGAAAUUCCAUCUGAGAGUAGGAAAACACUCCAGAAGAGCCUGCCAACCUCAACAACUCUGUGAUUUCCUGUAGCUUUUCAAAAAGAGAACAGAGCAAUGUAUGUGGAGAGGGUUGCUCUAUAAAGUCUUAUUUGCUUUUAUUUCAAGCAUCAAGUAUGGAGUUGUCUUCAAGAAUGAGUAACUGGUAGUUUUUGAAGUGCUUUCAUAUAACUUAUAACAAAAUUUUACUUUAAAAAUUUUCUCUCCCUUAUGUUUUCUUAGAGAAUUGUCAUGUUUUAACACCAGCUGGCAACUAAAUACCACAACUUGCUCAUUCCCCUCCAUUCUGGUGUGAUGGGGAGGAGAAUUAGGGAAAGGUAAAAUCUGUGAGUUGAUAUAAAAACAGUUUAAUAAUUGAAACAAAGUAAAGUAUAAUAUAUAAUAAAUAAUAAUGAGAAAUAAAAAGAGGAAUAAACCCCAACCAACAACAGUGAUGCACAGCACAAUUGCUCGCCACCUAGUGACUGAUGCCCAGCCUGUUCUCGAGCAGCAAUUGGCUCCUUCUGGCUAACUUCCCCCCAGUUUCUAUGCUGAGCAUGAUGUUCUGGGGUAUGGGAUACCCCUUUGGCUAGUUUGGGUCAGGUGUCCUGGCUAUGUUCCUUCCCUGCUUCUUGUGCCCCUCCUCACUGACAGUGCAUGAGAGACUGAAAAGUCCUUGAUCAGGGUAAGCACUACUUAGCAACAACUAAAACAUUAGUGUGUUAUUAACAUUAUUCUCAGACUAAAGCCAAAGCACAAAACUGUACAAGCUACUAGGAAGAAAAGUAACUCUAUCUCAUAUGAAACCAGGACAGUAUGAGUAUGCAAAUGUGAGUUAUACUAUAAAGGCACUGGUUUAAAAUUUAAUUUAGAAAGUCAAGAUAGAAAAAUGCCUCCAGUUACUGAAGACUUAGAGAAGA